CAGGAUUGCCACUACUGCUGCUGCUGCAUCAACCAUUUCAUAAAACAAUGAUAGGUCCCUAAGCAAUCUGCGCUUCAGAAUGAGCGUCUAUGUGUGGUUGUUUUGGCCUUUACUACCUUCUCGGUCGCUACUUUGAAGCCUGCAAGAACAAGUGAACGCUGCAUGGCCACCGCUGUCUUCCUACAACACCCUUUUAAACAGUCUACUGCUAUGUUACUUGCAUGUUUGCAAUCCCGGUUUUGGCAGUCAUAGAGACAAGCCAAAACUCCGUUCAUACUUUUCCCUGUUUAAAUCCGAACGGAGCAACUUUCAUAUUCCGUGGAUAACACUAUUAGACCUCUUUUGCUGUACCCUCUC